UACAGAGGGUGCAAGCGUUAAUCGGAAUUACUGGGCGUAAAGCGUGCGUAGACGGUUAUGUAAGUCAGAUGUGAAAGCCCCGGGCUCAACCUGGGAAUUGCAUUUGAGACUGUGUAGCUAGGGUGCGGAAGAGGGAAGCGGAAUUUCCGGUGUAGCGGUGAAAUGCGUAGAUAUCUGGAGGAACACCGGUGGCGAAGGCGGCAUCCUGGACCGGUAUUGACGCUGAGGCGCGAAAGCCAGGGGAGCAAACGGG
rnacentral:rRNA from 1 species